rnacentral:rRNA from 1 species
UGAAGAAUUUGUCCAACGGGGGGGGAUAGCCGGCCCAACGGCCGGGUAAUACCGCGUACGCCCUUCGAGCGGCGUCGCUUGAUGGGGAAAGUCGCAAGACGCCGAUGGAGAACUUCGCGGCCUAUCAGCUAGUUGGUGAGGUAAUGGCCCACCAAGGCGACGACGGGUAGCCGGCCUGAGAGGGUGACCGGCCACACUGGGACUGAGACACGGCCCAGACUCCUACGGGAGCAG